AGUGAACGCUGGCGGUAGGCCUAACACAUGCAAGUCGAACGGCAGCACAGUAAGAGCUUGCUCUUACGGGUGGCGAGUGGCGGACGGGUGAGGAAUACAUCGGAAUCUACUUUUUCGUGGGGGAUAACGUAGGGAAACUUACGCUAAUACCGCAUACGACCUACGGGUGAAAGCAGGGGAUCUUCUGACCUUGCGCGAUUGAAUGAGCCGAUGUCGGAUUAGCUAGUUGGCGGGGUAAAGGCCCACCAAGGCGACGAUCCGUAGCUGGUCUGAGAGGGUGAUCAGCCACACUGGAACUGAGACACGGUCCAGACUCCUACAGGAGGACGCAGUCGGGAAUAUUGGACAAAGGACGCAAGCCUAAUCCAGCCAUACCGCGUGAGUGAAGAAGGCCUUCGGGUUGUAAAGCCAUUUUGUUGGGAAAGAAAAGCAGCACGUUAAUCCCCCGCUGUUCUGACGGUACCCAAAGAAUAAGCACCGGCUAACUUCGUG
rnacentral:rRNA from 1 species